rnacentral:rRNA from 1 species
GACGAACGCUGGCGGCGUGCCUAAUACAUGCAAGUUGAGCGCUGAAGGUUGGUACUUGUACCAACUGGAUGAGCAGCGAACGGGUGAGUAACGCGUGGGGAAUCUGCCUUUGAGCGGGGGACAACAUUUGGAAACGAAUGCUAAUACCGCAUAAAAACUUUAAACACAAGUUUUAAGUUUGAAAGAUGCAAUUGCAUCACUCAAAGAUGAUCCCGCGUUGUAUUAGCUAGUUGGUGAGGUAAAGGCUCACCAAGGCGAUGAUACAUAGCCGACCUGAGAGGGUGAUCGGCCACAUUGGGACUGAGACACGGCCCAAACUCCUACGGGAGGCAGCAGUAGCGAAUCUUCGGCAAUGGACGAAAGUCUGACCGAGCAACGCCGCGUGAGUGAAGAAGGUUUUCGGAUCGUAAAACUCUGUUGGUAGAGAAGAACGUUGGUGAGAGUGGAAAGCUCAUCAAGUGACGGUAACUACCCAGAAAGGGACGGCUAACUACGUG